GUCCCUUCGGGGACAUCCGAUAAAAUUGGAACGAUACAGAGAAGAUUAGCAUGGCCCCACGCACAAAUCGAGAAAUGGUCCAAAUUUUU
rnacentral:snRNA from 1 species